rnacentral:rRNA from 1 species
AGAGUUUGAUCCUGGCUCAGAGUGAACGCUGGCGGUAGGCCUAACACAUACAAGUCGAACGGCAGCACAGUAAGAGCUUGCUCUUACGGGUGGCGAGUGGCGGACGGGUGAGGAAUACAUCGGAAUCUACUUUUUCGUGGGGGAUAACGUAGGGGAACUUACGCUAAUACCGCAUACGACCUACGGGUGAAAGCAGGGGAUCUUCGGACCUUGCGCGAUUGAAUGAGCCGAUGUCGGAUUAGCUAGUUGGCGGGGUAAAGGCCCACCAAGGCGACGAUCCGUAGCUGGUCUGAGAGGAUGAUCAGCCACACUGGAACUGAGACACGGUCCAGACUCCUACGGGAGGCAGCAGUGGGGAAUAUUGGACAAUGGGCGCAAGCCUGAUCCAGCCAUACCGCGUGGGUGAAGAAGGCCUUCGGGUUGUAAAGCCCUUUUGUUGGGAAAGAAAUCCAGCUGGUUAAUACCCGGUUGGGAUGACGGUACCCAAAGAAUAAGCACCGGCUAACUUCGUGCCAGCAGCCGCGGUAAUACGAUGGGUGCAAGCGUUACUCGGAAUUACUGGGCGUAAAGCGUGCGUAGGUGGUCGUUUAAGUCUGUUGUGAAAGCCCUGGGCUCAACCUGGGAACUGCAGUGGAAACUGGACGACUAGAGUGUGGUAGAGGGUAGCGGAAUUCCUGGUGUAGCAGUGAAAUGCGUAGAGAUCAGAGGAACAUCCAUGGCGAAAGCAGCUACCUGGACCAACACUGACACUGAGGCACGAAAGCGUGGGGAGCAAACAGGAUU